rfam:Corchorus capsularis cultivar CVL-1 contig06784, whole genome shotgun sequence.
AUGGCAUGUUGGGGACAAUCGGCGCAAAGUUUCUUGAAUCUCUCCCAAGCUAGGCAAAAAUUCUCCUCUUUGCGUUGUCGAAAAGUUGCAAUCUUUUGUCUUCCCUU